AGCUGUGAUAAAUUUUUUUGAAGAAAUGGAGGAGUAUGUCCCCUACGGUUUUACAAUUUACACAUUAAAUGAUGAAGGACUGCUUUGUCCAAGAAAACUCAGUCCUUACAACACAAAUCAAAUACCAGACCUAAAGUUUCUUGUCUUGGAUGAAGGAUUGUGUUGUCCUCUCUACAACUCAGAAGAAGUCCUCAUCAAGCCCAUUGCAGAGUUAAUCUCAGAGAAGAUUCAGUACACUCCAUGCACAGACAAAACAGACAAAAUCAGCAUUCCUGGAUUCUUGAGGAAUCUCAUUGAGACCAAAAUGCCUUUGUGGGUGGAGAAUGCCUUUCUGGCAAAGCAGGUUGAAGGAAGGACGGGACUAUGUUGUAGAAAAUGAGAAUAUCUGUCCAGUAGACUUCAGAUCCACUGGCAUCAUUGAACUGAAUAAGAAAUGGGGUGAUGGUCUGCAGCAGUUUGUGGAGAUUAAGCAUCAAGUCAAACUGAGCACAAUUUCAGCAGUGACAAACUACAUUUCUAACAUCUCCUUUUUUCAAAAGUACCAUGGCAAAAUAUAUGGAACUACAGGAACUCUUGGUACUGAAAAGGACAUUCUGUUUUUGCAGGAUUUAUAUCCAAGUCUAUCUGCAUGCAGAAUGCCAACAUUCAACAGGAAAAAACUAUAUGAGGUCAAAGGAACUCUGAAAAAAACUUCGAAAGAGUGGAAAUCAGAAAUAAAAGGAGUUGUCAUGUCUCAGAUUUCCUCAAAUUCAUACAGAGAGGGAAGAGCCGCCCUGGUGAUCUGUGAAACUAUCAACAAAGCCAAAGAGAUCUAUGAAGAACUGAAGAGCAGCAUUAAAGGUGAAAUCAUCCUCUACAGUCGCAGUGAUAAAGAAAGUUUGAGCAAAAUAGACAAGGAGCUGGAGUCUGGGGAUGUUAUUGUUGCCACAAACCUUGCUGGGCGUGGCACUGACAUUAAAGUGUCCAAAAAGGUGAACAGUAAUGGAGGAUUGUUUGUUAUCCUCUCCUUCCUCUCUGAAAACACCAGAGUAGAACUCCAGGCUUUUGGUCGAACAGCACGAAAAGGGAAACCUGGAUCUGCUCAGAUCAUUGCAUGCACUGAACACCUGCAGUAUGACUUCAGGUCAGCUGUAUCUCUGGAGGAAGCCAAAAGCACGAGGGACAGACUUGCAGCAGAAAGGAUAAGUUCAAUGAUGAAUGACGUUUCUGAAAUGAAUUUACGUGAGGAGCUGUUUUCUGAGUACUGUGAGACUCUUCAUGAUAUUUACAAGAAAACAGAUGGAGAUGAUAGAAAAGUUAUUGUUGCCAUCAUGAAUGAGUUCUGGGGGAUCUGGCUCCAAAUUAAAUCAGAAGACAUCGAUCACCAGAAGAAAAGUGAACUUCACCAAAGUCUAAAGAAGGAUUUAUCUGUGGCAAGGCAAGAGUCUUCAUCUCAAACUUCCCCAUGUUCAAGCAUUUAUCACUACAUCAAUUUUGGAAACAUUUUCUUGGAUGAUAAAAAAUGGGAAAAUAGUGCCAGGCUGUUUGAUAAAGCUAUGAAACAAGACAAAAGUUGGGCAGCCAUCGCUUUUUACAGUCACGCAUACUGCACUAUUAAACUGUCAAAGGGAGACUACCUGACUCAAGCCAAAGAAGACCUACAAAAGGCACAAGAGUCCCUCAAGUAUCUGAGUGAAGAAUGCCUUGUCUGUUUGCAGUUCAUUAAAAUGGCCACUGUGGACUCAGGCAAAGGUGAACCAUCCAGCCUUGAAAAACAGAUGACAUCCAAGUGCAGCAUGUACAGGUUCUUUGAUAAAAACAUCACUGAGGCCAUCCAAAAGAUUGAUGAAAUCAAAGAAAGAGGGAGGGAUGCAAUAGUCAAAAAAUCCCCUGUUUUCUCCUUGGUGUCGGAUGCUGAUGAAGCUCUCCAGUUAGAAGCUGAUAACCUCUACAGUCGAGGUCUAAAAUAUGUAUUUUCUGUUGAGGAGAAGCCUCGUUUCUGCUGGGAAGGACUGGUGGUUUUCUUGCUUGGAGUUUUGCAGAUUGUUGCUGGAGCACUGCUCACUGUAUUUACAGUUGGUACCUUGGCUCAAAUCGGAAUGGGUCUCAUCACAGAAGGAAUAUCUGACUGCAUUGAAGGUAUUACAGCCAUGGUGACAGGAGAGUUCAGCUGGAAAGAUUGGGCUAUCGGAAAAGCCAUUUCCAUCGGUGUUUCUAUAAUAUCAUUUGGAGUUGGAAAACUAAUUUCGAAGGGAUUCAAGGCUGCCAAAGCAGCGAUCAAAGCCAUAGGUAAAAAACUGAAGGCAUUGCCAAAGUUUCUCUCCAAACAGGCAAAACAGAGUUUAAGCACCGUCACAAAGACAAACAUGAAAAAUGCUUUAAAACAUACAGUAAAAACAAUUGCUGAGGAAACACUGUUUUACGGACUUGAGAAAGCAGAAGAGAAAGCACUUGAAGAAAUAUUAAAAGGCAUCAAAAAUGAAGUAACAAAGGGAAUUGUUAAAGACGUGAAAAGCAGCCUGGAAAAAGAACCCCUGGCUACAUUGGUGGAUAAUGUUAUACUGUUAGAUCUUCUAUAUAAAGACCAACUGCGCCAGGUCCUGGAAGACAAAGACAGAAAGAAAGACCUCCUUUCCAUUUACAAACAGUUGGGGAGUACUGCACUACAACCAUUAUAUGCAGACCUUAGUUGGCAGAACAAGCUUAAUUCAUCAAUCAUCAAAGUGCUUGACAGCGCAACAGAAGGCACAAAAGGAAAAACUCGUGUAAUUUUGACAGCUAUUCAAACUACCCACCAUCUUAUUCUUGCAGGAGAUGCUAUUGGUGAAGUACUCACCCUCUCCCACAAGUUUUUCUCAAACUUUGAGAACGAACUGAACACUUUUAUCAAAGAAAAACCUUUGAAAGUGAAGCGAAAUGAGCUAACUUUCUCAGAAACUGACAUGCUGAAAAUAUUCAAACAAGACUUGGCUGACACCCUCAGCACUUUACUGGCUGAUGCCUUGGUAGAGGUGUUUAAUAAGAAGUUUUUCAGUCACCUUGUUUCUCGUGCACAGAACAAAGCACAUGAGGCCAUCAGGCGACAUGUCAAAUCCGGCUUAAAGAGUGAGAGGACAGAGGAAAAACUUAAAGCUGGACAACUCAACAACUACAUAGUAAAUAUGCCAGUAAAUCCAAAUGCAAAACUUUCAGCUAAUGCUGGUCAAGUCACAAGAUCACAUGCUGAAAAGAUCAAGAAUAACAAAGCUGCUGGUACUAUUCUUGAUAUCAGAGUCCUGUCUGAAGCCACUGGUACUAGAGUUGUUAUUCUUACAGAAAACAAGCAUGGAAAACUCACCAAAAUGCAGGAAGUUAGUCCAAGCACCAUAUCUGCCAGUGAAACAGUGACUUUGAUCUACAGGCCAAAGAGCACCCAAAACCCUAACGGUCAUUAUGAUGUGUUCAUCGACAAUAAGGCAGUGAGCAUAGACAGCAAAGAAAAGAGUUCUCUGUUCCAUGCUAUGGCAAGAGGCAUGAAACCAAAAGCCAGUGAUUCAGCGAUUGCUUCUGAAGCAAACCGCCUGAGAUCUGUGGAGGUCAACAUGCUCCUCAAACAACCAGGGCAAUGGGAACCUUUUAUGAAGCGCAAAGAGUUAACCGAAACAAUCAGAGGAGGAGACUGGUACAUGGCAGAGGCAGGUAGACCAGAAAGAAUUAUAAAGGAAAACAAAACCCUGCUGCAGAAAAUAACUGGAACGGUUGAAAAGUACAAAGGAUAUUUGAAAAAAAGCAGCUAUUCCAGCAGUAGAAAAAGCCGUCAAUGCAAAUCAGCAGCCUUCAAACAGUACCAUAGUGGAAGCUAACAAACUGAACCAGAAGAGCAAAUUGGCUGUGGCAAUGUUGCAAGCGAGAAAAUAUCUGUCUGGCUCAGAUACCAGCAAAACUUCUGGUGUGGAGAAACAAGAAGGCCAAAAGUUACCAACUGAUCGCAGCCUUAAAGAUGUAGUUGAUGAUAUAUCUUCUCCAGAGCCAAAAGCUUUAAAAUCAUGCUUAGCUACCAUGAUAAGCAAAGAUGAUGUUGUUGGAACCUUUAAACUGAUGACAUUCAGUGCAAUGUUCAGAUGCCAGCUGACUGACACCGAGAAUGUUCAAAACAAGAAGAGUAAAACCCGGGUUGCCAUGUUUGAGAAGAGUUUUCAAGAAAACAGUACACAGAUGGUACAGAAAUGGUACAGCCUGCUUCAAGGCAAGGGUGUCAUGACAAAUGACCAUCAAACAACAAUCACACAGUGGAUCAACACCCAGGGCUACAAGGAUAAAAAUGAUCCACACAGGAAACAGGUGUCCAGCGUCCUGACAUGAAGAGUGAAAACUCUGGAUGAUGCUGGUUAACGAGAAGAAUCGAAACUACACAUCACUUCCAUCUGCCUGAUCAUCAAAGAGAGACUUUGAUUAUUGACAAUAUUACACUGUCAAACAAAUUCUACAGGCAAAUUGGGACUAUUUUUAAUUCAGAUCUGUUGCAGAUGUCCCUUUUGUCUGACUUCAAGUUUUUAUUUUAAAAAAUACUUUCUAUCAAGUUUCUCUUAGGAAGUUAGAUUAAGCCAAGCAAAACAUUUUGGCUGUAAUAUUACUUCAGCUGAAUAAUUUACUUUUGGUCAUUUUCUGAAGUUAAUUGUGAAAUAUCAUUUUUGCCCACUAGAGAUUUUUUCCCAUAGAGUAAAAAGUAAAAAUUCAUUUGAUUUUACUCCUCAAAAUAUUCACAUUUUAUCGUUUUAUUUUGUUGUGACUUUAUACAACUGAAUUUUAGCAACUAUUGAAUUUUAACAAAAUCUGAUUGUGAAAAUGGUAAAAAAUAAAAUAAAUAAAUUAGACAUGAUGCUUAGAUAAAGUAAUUCUUUCUUGAAAUAUUUUAAUAGUUUUAUUGUUUUAAGUGCUGAAACUCUGGUUUUUGGGUGUUCAAAACAGAAUCACAUUCAAAAUACAGGCAUGAAUAGAUUAUUUGUUGUUGUAAAUCUUGACUAAAAACAAUAGAUGCAAAAUGUAGGUAAAUUCACGUAGCCAUUGCUGAUUAUAUUCUUGAAAAUGGUGAAAAAUCUAUUUUCUUGCUUAACCUUUUCUAUUGAUAAAAAGCAUGCAGCCACUGG